rnacentral:rRNA from 1 species
GACGAACGCUGGCGGCGUGCUUAACACAUGCAAGUCGAACGAGAGGACAAGAGAAGCUUGCUUCUUUUGGAAUCGAGUGGCAAACGGGUGAGUAACACGUAAACAACCUGCCUUCAGGAUGGGGACAACAGACGGAAACGACUGCUAAUACCGAAUACGCUUGGAAGACCGCAUGAUCUUCCAAGGAAAGGGUGGCCUCUACCUGUAAGCUAUCGCCUGAAGAGGGGUUUGCGUCUGAUUAGGCAGUUGGUGAGGUAACGGCCCACCAAACCUACGAUCAGUAGCCGGUCUGAGAGGAUGAACGGCCACACUGGAACUGAGACACGGUCCAGACUCCUACGGGAGGCAGCAGUGGGGAAUCUUCCGCAAUGGGCGAAAGCCUGACGGAGCAACGCCGCGUGAGUGAUGACGGCCUUCGGGUUGUAAAGCUCUGUGAUCGGGGACGAACGGUCCGUAAGCCAAUACCUUAUGGAAGUGACGGUACCCGAAUAGCAAGCCACGGCUAACUACGUGCCAGCAGCCGCGGUAAUACGUAGGUGGCAAGCGUUGUCCGGAAUUAUUGGGCGUAAAGCGCGCGCAGGCGGCUUUCUAAGUCCAUCUUAAAAGUGCGGGGCUUAACCCCGUGAUGGGAUGGAAACUGGGAAGCUGGAGUAUCGGAGAGGAAAGUGGAAUUCCUAGUGUAGCGGUGAAAUGCGUAGAGAUUAGGAAGAACACCGGUGACGAAGGCGACUUUCUGGACGACAACUGACGCUGAGGCGCGAAAGCGUGGGGAGCACACAAAAGUAGAUACCCUGGUAGUCCACGCCGUAAACG